GACUGUUUUGGUGGCCUACAUGGUUAGGGCGUCCGCCUCGGAUGCGGGAGGUCAUGGAUUUGAACCCCGACUGAGUCG